GUCCUGAACCUUGGAGACAUUAUUUGAAAUUCACACAUUUCUUCAGCCAAGUAGCUUCUGCUAUAAUUAGCAAUACGUGCUUCUCUUUUGUUGUUGUUUUUUCAGAAGAUGUACUCGCCUACAAAUUUUUUUUUUAUUCUUUGAAAGUCUACCAGGAAAAAAAAAAGAGUUAAAAAGUUAUUUCCAGAUGCUCACCCCUCCCCUCCCCCCAUGCUUUCACUGGUAGUCAAGGAUAUAAACUACAGUAUGCUUAAGGGUCACCUGAUCUCUUGAGCCAGCUUGAUCUAGCUGCUCUUGGCCUUGUUCAGACUGAAGACCUAGAAGAGAUCAUCAAACUUGCCUUAAAUAAACCCUCUCAACUAGAUGGUCACAGCCCCUCCUUGCAUCUUCUUCUCCCAGUCUGUCUCCCUGUGAGUCUGUGAGUUUGCUCCAUUCCCCUCAGAACCAUACCUGUGGUCCCCAUUUGUUUUUUGUUUUUUACCAGCCUUGCUACUGGAGUAUCUGACAAAUCAGUCAAGGUCUCAAGAGUCUCUCAGGGAGACUGCAACACUGGGGACUCAAGGAAAGUGUAAUAAAGAGUAGAACCACUAGGGGGCAGCAUGGUGGGACCACAGAGCAUCUACCUUUCUGAGUGCCUUUAACCCCACUUGUGAGAGAGCUGCUUAUCUUGGUGUUGACAAAAUGCCUGACGAUUGUUGAAAGCAAUCCUGCUCAACUUCAUUUGCUUUUAGACAUGGGCAUAUCUGAUUGCUGCCCAGCCAUAUUACCAAGCCUCACUUUGCUGGUACUACGGAAGCUUUUUGCCACCCUAAAAUUCCUGGAAUUGGGGCAUUGAUAUGUGCCAAUAAUCUAUGUCCCUGCCUCACCCAAAUGCUUACACGGGCCCAUACACACAUGUAGCUGGAUGUCAAGAGUAGAAUGUUGACUAGGAACUGCCUGGAAUUCAGAACAAAGAGGACAGUAUGAAUUUGAAUAGCUCCCACUAGAUAAGCAAUUUCCACGAGAACCUACCAAAAGCUAAAAAGCCACAGAGCUUCGUGAACCAAAGCAAGACUCCCUCUGCAUUAGUGAAAGGCUUACCGCCAUAGCAUCUUCCUUAGGGGUAGAAGGAUGUAAUGGAACUUUGUUGUCUUCCAAACCAAUGCAAAUGCAGGGCUUCUCAGCUCCCUCCCCUGACAGUAGGCUCAGGAAACCAAUAGAUGACUGUUUCCAGCUCCCAAGCAGUAUUCCCGCUGCAUCAGACGCAAGGUGUUUGGCUGUGACUUUAGUCUGAACUUCGUGUAGCCUUGGAUGAUGUUUGUCCAUCUGCCUCCGUGAAGGAAGGAUAUUAUUAUUGCCUUAAUGUAAAAUGAAAAUAAAUCAUGUUAAAAAAAUCUUUCCG
rnacentral:lncRNA from 1 species